UACGUAGGGCGCGAGCGUUGUCCGGAAUUAUUGGGCGUAAAGGGUGCGUAGGCGGGUCUUUAAGUCAGGGGUGAAAUCCUGGAGCUCAACUCCAGAACUGCCUUUGAUACUGAAGAUCUUGAGUUCGGGAGAGGUGAGUGGAACUGCGAGUGUAGAGGUGAAAUUCGUAGAUAUUCGCAAGAACACCAGUGGCGAAGGCGGCUCACUGGCCCGAUACUGACGCUGAGGCACGAAAGCGUGGGGAGCAAGCAGG
rnacentral:rRNA from 1 species